UGAGGAAUAUUGGUCAAUGGGUGCAAGCCUGAACCAGCCAUCCCGCGUGAAGGACGACUGCCCUAUGGGUUGUAAACUUCUUUUGUAUAGGGAUAAACCUACCCUCGUGAGGGUAGCUGAAGGUACUAUACGAAUAAGCACCGGCUAACUCCGUGCCAGCAGCCGCGGUAAUACGGAGGGUGCGAGCGUUAUCCGGAUUUACUGGGUUUAAAGGGUGCGUAGGUGGGCUUAUAAGUCAGUGGUGAAAUCUCCGAGCUUAACUUGGAAACGGCCGUUGAUACUAUAGGUCUUGAAUUAUCUGGAGGUAAGCGGAAUAUGUCAUGUAGCGGUGAAAUGAUUAGAUAUGACAUAGAACACCAAUUGCGAAGGCAGCUUACUACAUAUAAAUUGACGCUGAGGCACGAAAGCGUGGGGAUCAAACA
rnacentral:rRNA from 1 species